CCCAGCGAAACUCCGCGGAGCGCGUGCGGCUCGAUGGACGGUCGGGUGCAGCUGAUGAAGGCCCUCCUGGCCCGGCCCCUCCGGCCCGCGGCGCGUCGCUGGAGGAAUCCGAUUCCCUUUCCCGAGACGUUUGACGGCGAUACCGACCGGCUCCCGGAGUUCAUCGUGCAGACGGGCUCCUACAUGUUCGUGGACGAGAACACGUUCUCCAACGACGCCCUGAAGACCUACGCUACCACUGCCAUCGCCAUCCACCGCAUCUCACCAACAGACUGCGGCUCCUAGUGAUGUGGACUCACCUCGGAGGUAUCCGAGCUGGACACAGCCCCUGGACAGUGAUCCAGACAGCUGGCCGUCCCCCAAGGAGCCUGUCACCUUCAGCGAGACCCAUUUCCUCCCCAUCCCCAGAGACCUCUUGUGUUCCUGCCACAUAGCUGCCAGGGCUUAGGUGUGCCUGGCAACCAAAUCGAAUCUCUCAUUUUCUCCUGUGGACCAGUUAGUUUUGCCUAGAAUCCUGUUUUCUUCUGAAUUUGCAG
rnacentral:sRNA from 1 species